rnacentral:rRNA from 1 species
AACGAACGCUGGCGGUAUGCCUAACACAUGCAAGUCGAACGAGACCUUCGGGUCUAGUGGCGCACGGGUGCGUAACGCGUGGGAACCUGCCCUUAGGUUCGGAAUAACUCCCCGAAAGGGGUGCUAAUACCGGAUAAUGUCUUCGGACCAAAGAUUUAUCGCCUUUGGAUGGGCCCGCGUUGGAUUAGCUAGUUGGUAGGGUAAAAGCCUACCAAGGCGACGAUCCAUAGCUGGUCUGAGAGGAUGAUCAGCCACACUGGGACUGAGACACGGCCCAGACUCCUACGAGAGGCAGCAGUGGGGAAUAUUGGACAAUGGGCGAAAGCCUGAUCCAGCAAUGCCGCGUGAGUGAUGAAGGCCUUAGGGUUGUAAAGCUCUUUUACCCGGGAUGAUAAUGACAGUACCGGGAGAAUAAGCUCCGGCUAACUCCGUG